ACCGCGGGAAAAUUUGGCGCUAAUAUUAUUUUAGUUUACUACUGUUUUUAACUUUACCAAUUUGCUGACUUCUCAUCUAACUUUACCAUUUUACUCAUCUGAAAUAAAAGCCCUAUCUGUAUCGUCAUCCGUCUCUCCUCUGCUCUGUCUCGAUCUCUCACUGCUCGAUCUCCAUUUAUCAGCUGAAGCCCCUGAUUGAUGUUUGCUAACCCCGUCUCUCUUUCGGUAUUAUCUCAUCCGAGAUGACAAAGUUGAAGCCCUAGGUUUCUCUUCAGGCCGUCUCUCCUCCGUCUCAAUCUCUCACCAGUUACUCGAACUCCAAGAGCUGUUAAUUUAUGUCAUUUCGAGAUCUUACUCACUAGAUUUUCCUCCCAAAACGUUCUCACUGAAGCCUCUCUCAGCCCUAGCUGUAUCUUCAGGCCGGCCGUCUCUCCUCUGCUCUAUCUCGAUAUAUCAGGCCGUUUCUCAGCUGCAAGAGCCACUCUCCUCUACACUGUCUCGAUCUCUCACCAGCUGCUCGAUCUCCAUUUCUCAGCUGAAGCCCUUGAUUGAUCAGGCCGUUUCUCAGCUGCAAGGCUAACCCGGCUUGCGUCUCGCCUCUGCUCGAUCUCCAUAACUCUCAGACAACUUUUUUGCUUGUGAUGGUUAGGGAAUUUUCUGCCCCUUCACCCUCUAUAUGUGUAUAUAGGAAUAAAAUAGAACAUUACUUUAAUUUAUGCA